rnacentral:rRNA from 1 species
AGCAGCCGCGGUAAUUCCAGCUCCAAUAGCGUAUAUUAAAGUUGUUGCAGUUAAAAAGCUCGUAGUUGAAUUUCGGGGUUCUACCGUUGGUCGGGCUUUGUCUGUACUGGCGUGUAGAAUUUCUACCUUUUGGGGAACCAUCAUGUUAUUAAUUUAACGUGGCGGGAAACCAGGACCUUUACCUUGAAAAAAUUAGAGUGUUCAAAGCAGGCUUAUGUCUGAAUACAUUAGCAUGGAAUAAUAAAAUAGGACGGUGGUUCUGUUUUGUUGGUUUCUGAAUCACCGUAAUGAUUAAUAGGGAUAGUUGGGGGCAUUAGUAUUCAAUUGUCAGAGGUGAAAUUCUUGGAUUUAU